rnacentral:rRNA from 1 species
UUUCGAAAGGAACGCUAAUACCGCAUACGUCCUACGGGAGAAAGCAGGGGACCUUCGGGCCUUGCGCUAUCAGAUGAGCCUAGGUCGGAUUAGCUAGUUGGUGAGGUAAUGGCUCACCAAGGCGACGAUCCGUAACUGGUCUGAGAGGAUGAUCAGUCACACUGGAACUGAGACACGGUCCAG